rnacentral:rRNA from 1 species
UUCCGGUUGAUCCCGCCGGAGGCCACUGCUAUUGGAGUCCGACUUAGCCAUGCUAGUCGUCCGGGUUUAGACCCGGGGCGGAAAGCUGAGUAACACGUAGUCAACCUACCCUAUAGGCCGGUAUAACCUCGGGAAACUGAGGCUAAUACCGGAUAGAGGAGAAUGCCUGGAAUGGUGCCUCCUUGAAAGCUCCGGCGCUGUAGGAUGGGACUGCGGCUGAUUAGGUAGACGCUGAGGUAACUUCUCGGCGUGCCGAUAAUCAGUAGCGGGAGUGAGAGCUCGAACCGUCAGUCGUGUUCUGAGACAAGAACACGGGUCCUACGGGACGCAGCAGGCGCGAAAACUUUACAAUGUGCGAAAGCGCGAUAAGGGGACUCCAAGUGCUUCUUGUAAACAAAGCAGGAAGCUUUUCUGCACUGUAAAAAGGUACAGGAACAAGUGGUGGGCAAGACUGCUGCCAGCCGCCGCGGUAAUAGCAGCACCGCAAGUGGUGGCCACGUUUAUUGGGCUUAAAGCGUCCGUAGCCGGCUCUGUGAGUCCGCUGUGAAAUCUGGCGGCUCGACCGUCAGACGUGCAGUGGAUACCACAGAGCUAGGGACCGGAGGGCGUCGAGGCUAUUCCCGGGGUAGGGGUGAAAUCCAAAAAUCCCGGGAGGAGCACCAGUGGCGAAAGUGCUCGACGACGACGGGUCCGACGGUGAGGGACGAAAGCCAGGGGAGCGAACGGGAUUAGAUACCCCAGUAGUCCUGGCCGUAAACGAUGUCCGCUUGAUGUCGGGGAUCUUCCGAGGAUUCCCGGUGCCAAAGGAAAACCGUUAAGCGGACCGCCUGGGUAGUACGAUCGCAAGGUUGAAACUUAAAGGAAUUGGCGGG